CCCUUAGAUGUCCUGGGCUGCACGCGCGCUACACUGAUGUGUCCAGUAAGCACCUAACCUCUUCCGAAAGGAACGGGUAACCUUUGCAAAGCACAUCGUGAUGGGGAUAGAUUAUUGCAAUUAUUAGUCUUGAACGAGGAAUUCCUAGUAAGCACAAGUCAUCAGCUUGUGUUGAUUACGUUCCUGCCCUUUGUACACACCGCCCGUCGCUCCUACCGAUUGAAUGUUCCGGUGAGCUCUUCGGACUGCGCGGUCUGCAGUUUCUGCGUUCCGUGCGGAAAGUUGCGCAAACCUUAACAUUUAGAGGAAGGAGAAGUCGUAACA
rnacentral:rRNA from 1 species